AUUGAACGCUGGCGGCAUGCCUUACACAUGCAAGUCGAACGGCAGCACGGGAGCAAUCCUGGUGGCGAGUGGCGAACGGGUGAGUAAUAUAUCGGAACGUGCCCGGUCGUGGGGGAUAACGCAGCGAAAGCUGUGCUAAUACCGCAUACGAUCUAAGGAUGAAAGCGGGGGAUCGCAAGACCUUGCGCGAUUGGAGCGGCCGAUAUCAGAUUAGCUAGUUGGUGGGGUAAAGGCCCACCAAGGCGACGAUCUGUAGCUGGUCUGAGAGGACGACCAGCCACACUGGAACUGAGACACGGUCCAGACUCCUACGGGAGGCAGCAGUGGGGAAUUUUGGACAAUGGGCGCAAGCCUGAUCCAGCAAUGCCGCGUGCAGGAUGAAGGCCUUCGGGUUGUAAACUGCUUUUGUACGGAACGAAACGGCCCUUUCUAAUACAGGGGGCUAAUGACGGUACCGUAAGAAUAAGCACCGGUUAACUACGUGCCAGCCGCCGCAGUAAGAC
rnacentral:rRNA from 1 species